rnacentral:rRNA from 1 species
GACGAACGCUGGCGGCGUGCUUAACACAUGCAAGUCGAACGGAAAGGCCCUGCUUGCAGGGUACUCGAGUGGCGAACGGGUGAGUAACACGUGGGUGAUCUGCCCUGCACUUCGGGAUAAGCUUGGGAAACUGGGUCUAAUACCGGAUAGGAACCAUCUUUAGUGUGGUGGUUGGAAAGUUUUUUCGGUGUAGGAUGAGCUCGCGGCCUAUCAGCUUGUUGGUGGGGUAAUGGCCUACCAAGGCGGCGACGGGUAGCCGGCCUGAGAGGGUGUACGGCCACAUUAGGACUGAGAUACGGCCCAGACUCCUACGGGAGGCAGCAGUGGGGAAUAUUGCACAAUGGGCGCAAGCCUGAUGCAGCGACGCCGCGUGGGGGAUGAAGGCCUUCGGGUUGUAAACUCCUUUCGCUAGGGACGAAGCUUUGUUGUGACGGUACCUAGAUAAGAAGCACCGGCUAACUACGUG